GGAAGAUGAUUGAGAGGAAGGCGACCAGCUAACUAGCAGCAUCGAGAGUGAAGAUCCAGAGCUCAAAAGAGAUGAAAUCAGAAGAACCGAAAUUUGGUUUCCAAAUUUGGGAUUUAGGCCCCAAUUUGAGCGGACACAGAUUCUUGGUUUUGGAUAUCCUGCUUUUGAUGUUUUGAAACUAAGGACAAGAACAAAGCAAAGAUUGAAUAGCUCAGAUAUGGGGUCAGCAAAAUAAAGAUAAAAAUAUUUCUCUUCUCCCAAUACUUGUGUUUUCAAUUUUUUCCUUGUAUUAUCUUUUUUUGAUAUGAUAAUUUGAUUUAAUUUUUGGAAAUAUGUACAAUAAUUUCCUGAGUUGCAAAUUGUGUUAAGAAAUAUUCACAUUUAGAUGAGUUUUCUUUAAAUCA